AGGCUAUAUAUAUAUGAAUCCCUUAUGACUAUUAUAUCCAACUUUGAUUACAUCUUCCUCUCUAGGGCCGCUACUUGAUCAUCUUCAUCAUCAUCCGCUACGAUGCCAAGUGGUGCAGAGAUCUGUUGUGAGAUUCUUCUAGCAAUUCUUCUUCCUCCUCUUGGUGUCUGUUUCAGACAUGGUUGUUGCAGUGUGGAAUUCUUGAUCUGUUUGUUGUUGACAUUUCUAGGUUAUGUUCCAGGUAUAAUCUAUGCCGUCUAUGUCAUAGUUGCUGUCAAUCGUGAACCCUACCCUGAUGAUUACUGGCGCCCUAUUAAUGCUUAAUCAAAUUCCAUUCUGGUGUAAUUUUUAAAUGGAGAUUUUAUGUAUAAAACUUACGGAGAUUGGUGAAUAUCAUGCUUAAUUUGAUCUAUAAUCUUCGCUUUUUAUGAUCUUAAUAAUUUUGUGUAUGAUUGGUUAUUGUGAUCUGAUGACCUAAUCUAUGGUCAAUUUGGGGAAAUUUUAUGAUUAAUUAGGUUUUUUAAGAAUUCUUUUUUGAUGAUUGUGUUUCUUGUAUUGCAAAUCAUUCACUAAUUAACUUAGAAGAACGGAUUAAGGUAGUAGACGAGAUCUAUAGAUUUUUAGUUUAAUGUUUUAGUUUGUUUGAUAUCCAUUGUGGCUGUUAAUAGAGUUUUGUAGAAUGAGCUGUUCAGAACUUCCAAUUCUGAAUCUGAAACAAGAGAUACACAAAUUUUGGUAGCUUAAUCUAGAUCAACGUUGAGAUGAAUGUACAGUCCACCUCUACCCAUAUCGAUGAAACAAUUACAAAAUUUAGAUGAAUGUGUUUGUCGAAGAAAACAGUUGGAAGGAGUGUAGCUAUACAGUCUCAUGUUAGAAAGAAAGAUUAUAAAACAUCAGUUUAGUUGAAUCCAAGUGAAUGACGGAAGCCUUUUUUUUUUCUUCUCUCCAAAAUGCUGCUAGCGAGGUCAUCUGUUCUGCUGCUUUAGCUACAUUACAUGUUUGUGUUAUAUCAUCGACCUUUAGUUCAUGUAUAUGCAUAUCCAUAUAUGGGUCCUGUAAUUGUAUCUAAAGGCCUCUUAGUUUGAUGCCUCCUACUACUUGUUUUAGCAGAUGUGAAUUUUGGUCACAAUAUCGGUGAUGUUGUUUAGGAGAGACUUUGAAACUUUGCUCUGUCAAGCUUAACAAAUAGUCAAUUUCUUAUGUCAUUCCUGCAGAGUUCUUUCCUCAAUAUUCAAUGACUAUUCUUGUCUAGCCUACCUGAAGUAAAAUCAUCUGUGAGCCGAGUCUGAGUUUGACGGACAAUCUGUGACAUGAUUCUGCAGUAAAUUUACCUGAAGGAGAUUUUUUUUUCCAUGUUACAAAUAGAAAUGAUAGAAUCCGGACUACACGACCAUUGGCAUAAUGUGCACGGGCCAUAUCAUUCGCCCACCUAAGUAUUAUUCCUCAUAUAACCGGUCUUGUUUUCAAAGGUUUUAGAUUCCUCGUAGAAAAACACGAAAGUCUAGGAUCUAAAUGCUGUUGGGAUACCAACAUCAAUCCGGACUCCAAUUUACUGAUCACAGCAGGUUACCGAGAUUUUUUCCAGUAUGAUAUUGUUUAUGUUUCAGUAUUUGUUCAGGACUAGACUGUAUAUGACGUCCCUAUAAAUACUUAGUUCUCCCUAUAAAUACUUAGUUCUCAUAAGUAUUUUAUUCAUUCAACUUUCAGUCAAUAUAGUUAAGCUUUGCUUAACUCUGGAGGCUGAUCUCUAGUCGAUUGCAGAUUUAUUUUUUUCUCGAAGGGUUAAAAAUCUAGCAGCUGCCAAUGGGAACUAAAAUAGUUGAACUUCCAUCGACAGUCAAAUUCAUCUGGAAGAUCGACAACUUUUCUAAGUUGUACUCGAACAACUCAGCCUACCUUUACUCUGAUGUUUUCAGUGCUGCUGGUGCUAAGUGGAAGGGACUGAUUUAUCCUAAGGGAUCGGGGAAAGUGUUUAUCAGUGUAUCUCUCUCGUCAAGACUCCGCCAAAUUUCCGGUGAACCUGGACUACAUUCUCACAAUUACUAAUCAAACUGAUCCCAAAACAACAAGACACUUGGUAUAAAUCCUCAAUCUUUUUUUGGAUUAUUUAGUUUUUGGUACUUAUAUUUUGUCCAGAGUUAGUAUUUGGUCUAAGAUUUGUCCAACUUAGGAUUUGGUACUUGGAAAUAACGUUGACCUUCGGUGACCGUCUUAAAUCUUGACUUCUACUAAAGAAAUUAUUAAAAAAUUUAUAUAAAAUAUAAUCAUUAAACAAAUUUACUAUUACACCCUUCAUUUUCCUAGUAUUUACAAAUAAUCACAUAUUAACCCUUCAUCGCCACCACCGUCAAUUUCUUUCUCUCGAACACUACCACUGCAACAUCAUCACAUCUCGCUUUCCCUGGUUAUUCAAUAUGUUGAAUAUAUUUAAGGGAAUAACCUCUUACCUGCAACAUGUUGGUUCUGCAUGCGGUGAACAUCAAUUCAAUUUUUAUCCGUUAGUCAUGGGGGUAUUUGAGUAAGUCUCUCAAAAUCCCUGUUAGUCGUGGAAGAGUUUAAAAAGUCUCUAAACUCCCUAAAAAGUCUCUGAACAAUUGCGCUUAAACAUUGAUUUCAUAGGCCUCAAUGUGAAUUUCACCUUAUAAGUAAGUUUAAGCACGACCCAAGUGCAAAUAGCCUUGCUAGAAAAUGUUACUGGACGACCUGGAUUUUAUUUUACCAUGACCACGGUCUGAGAAUAUCAGAUUAUUCUUUGGGAUUUUUUCCGGUGUAUCUAGAAUUUUCUCCUGGUUUAUCUACCCAGGAUGAAUCCCGAAAAACAAACUGUAAAAUAAACUGAUAAAUCCCAGGAAUCAUCAAACAAAAAGAACGAAUUUACUUUCCAAACACUCUGUAGUCCACUCAACAGUCAACCAAACCCCAAACCCCCUUCUUUCUCCUUAAAACCCUAGCUGCAAAUCUUUUCUCCUCGACUAGGGGAUUCCAUAGAGAUCAUAUUAGAUACUUGUACUCGCUUAUCAGCUACAUCCAUUCUAGACUGCAGCAAAUUAGUAAGCAAAUCCUGGGGAAAUGAUGCCAAAUUUCAUAUGAAUCGCCAUAGUGAUUGAUGUUGAUACUGGUGGUAAGUUUAGUUUGUUAUUCACGGAUGUUGUGUUUGGUGUUGGAUUCAACCAGUUUUAUUAUUCAGAAAUAUGAUGAGAAUGCUUUUUAAUUUUCUGAAACACCAUUUUGAUAGACUCUCCAUUUGUGUACUGUAUAUGUUGUUAUGGGCUCAUAUAAAUAUAAUGGCUUGAUUUGUCUAAGUUUCUGCCAUUAUAAAGACUGGAUGAACUACGAACUUGCUGGUUUAUUUAUAAGUGUGUGAUGUUAUUGCCUAAUUUAAGAACCCUUGGAAUAUGUAAGUAAUUUAAGAACCCUUGGAAAAUAUAGUACUAGGCAUUAUUGAGGCCUAUAUCCUGUUGUCAGCAUUCUAUGAAUCCAAGUACUAGGAUUUUAGUUUGGUGUGGUUCUCAGGAAGGGAGGCUAAUUUAAUCAAUUUCAGAACUCUUUUCAACUUGGAAUAUGUUAACAAAUCCAGUGUAUCCAAAAUUUAGUUUUCUUUUGUUAUGCAAUCUAGAGCGCAUUGGUGGUUAAGUUUAUAUCUAAAUAAUCCAUCUUGCUUGGCUUGUUUGCUUUUCUCUAUGUCAAUGUCUACUUGAAUUGAAUAUUGAUACAGUUUUGAAUAUGCCAAUUUCUCGCAAAUAAGAGGUUUAAUGCAAUGGCAGGGAAAAUUCUUGAAAUUGGAAGGUUUCUGUACUGCUACUAGAGCAUCCACUAUUUGGUUUUGAGAGUCACUAGAUAGUCGAUUUGGGGAUAAUUUAUAAUUGGUAGUUUGUUCAUUCCAUAUUGAAUUCCCAGGCGGAGUAGUCGCUCAUCCUUUCUCUGUUGCACAUGAUGAUGACAUUCUAAUUUUGGAAAAUGAUGCAUUCUGUGAAUGUCUAAUUUUGAACCUGAAUGAGCUUUAUAGAGCAGCCUCUUUGUGCUCUUUUUCCUGAUCUUUUCAAGUUGUCAAGUUACAAGAACUCAACUCUGUAGGAAACGCUGACACAUACUAGUACUGCCUGGAAUUUUCGUUUUUCAAGUCCUCUCGAAGUUCCUUCUUGUUGUAAUAACAGCUAACAACAGUAAAAGAGUCACCAGGUCUCCAUGAUGUAGUGUCGGUGCUGUCAGUGAGAAACUUUGGUUCAGGUUCCUUAACUGUCAACAGUCACGACACCGUAAACCAUGACUGGCAGUGCUCCAAAAUGAAACUAGGACAGGGCAAAGAGGUUUCUGGGGUAGGAAAGAGUAAUAAUUGAAACAGCAUACAGUGUAAGAGAAAUCUUGUCCCAAUAAAACCCAAAAAACCCAGAGCUACUUACAAAAGGUGGGGAAUCCUAAACUCUAGAAAUGGAGAUGCAAACAAGUGAUGUAGAAGAUUUUUCUGCAUCAGCAACACUAGUUCCCUGUACCUGCUAGUUUGUCUGAUGAUCCAUCUAAAGGCCCAUUUGUUCUUGAUUUCAAAGAUAUUCCAAGUUGGAAAUCUGCAUUUCAAGAUGGCGAAUUCAAAAUUAUAGAGCAAUGUUAGAUUUCAGGUAAUUGUUAGUUACUGGAGUAGUAAAAUCUGAACUGGGGAAAUUAGGGUAAGGUCCCACCCAUGAGUAGUAAAAUCUGAAAACUGUCGGUUUCCUAUUACUGACAGAUGAUACCUUGCAAUGAUGGGUUAUAAUCAAAUCUGGAAAAGUGAACGAUUUAUAUGUAAGGAAUAGGUUUCAGUUUGGUUAGAUUGGUUUGAGAGUCUCAACUAGAAACAGUGAAGUUUCCUGCAUCAAGAUUCCAACCGCUGUGCUCCAACGUCCAUCACAAAACUCAAGGUGUGGCUUUUGUUCUGCGGUAGCAUGCACCUAGGCUAGGGAUGAAAUUUGAGUUGUCGUUCGCAUAAUUCUAGAAGUCUUUUAUCAUGACAUUACCAAGUGGAAAAAGGUCAAGGACUGUAACACCAGCGAUUGAGUUUAUAUAGUUGCUGGGUGCAGGAACUUGGAUUCUUAGUUAACAAACAAACGGCAUUCAUUUUCUCGCCUUGAAUGUUCUGGAAAAUACUUCGUUUCUCUAAAUGCAAAUUGAGUUAAUCAGUGAAAUUUGAAACUUGUUAUUGUAUUAUUGGGGUUCAAAAGCACCAGCCUCGCCCAUUGUGGUCAUAGGGUGGUCAUUGACCAUAGCAGGUACUUAACAUCCACUAGGAGGAGCUAAGAAUGGCUCCCUAGGGUGCAGGAGCAGGAACUAUAGAAGGAAGUUAAGCAAUGAAUUGGUAGAAGCAGAAAUAGCAGGGAUGGGAACCAUAGUCUCAACAGAUGGGGAGGAGGAGCCAACAUCUCAUUCUUGGUUAUGUUCUUCCAGAUGAGGAGUCUCCUCUGCAAGUAUCUGAAAGGAGAAUUUUUCAUGUCAGGACCAGAUUGUUAUUGAUCAAACGUAGAAACAUCAGAAACUGAAUGACAAACAGAUCAGUAAAAGUAUUAUUACCUCAAAUCCCAUCUUUCUAUAUAGUGCCAGUGCUGGUUUGUUAUCCCGAUGGACAAGUACAAAUACCUACUUUAUACCUGACACAUAAAAUUCAAGAGCGUUAGUUUUCCUCCUUGCAGGUAACCGUCCGAUUUGGAUCACUGGAAGAGAAAUUAAGCAGUCAAACGACUGGGAUGGUCUCACUGUGUUCUUUUGCAGUUUCAAUUGCAAACUUCAGCAUGCUGCUUCCAACACCUUGUCGACGUGCACUUUCAGCAACAGCUACAUUUGAGAUUGUGCCAUGUUUCUGUAAUCCUCUUUGUCUGAAGGUGCUAGAUGCAUUCACAAACUUCCAGAGUUCCUGAGGAGUCAAGGAAUUCAAAUCUUAGGUGAUUCUCAACAUCAAAUUGCCAACUGAAAUUAGAAAAUUAUCCAAGUAUAAUGCACCUGAUCAGGAUAAGUCUCCCACUGUAACUGGUACUUGACACGAAAAUCCUGAGUUCCAAUGACAUUUUUAAACAUGUGCACAUUCUUGCCUUCGUUUCUUACAGCAACAAUGCACAUGAAUGGUUCUAAAUAACGCGUCGAAUAUCGCCUUUCUAUUGUAUCCAACUCCUGCAUUAACAGUAUGCCAAUAAGCAGCACCAUUCUCAUG